rnacentral:lncRNA from 1 species
UAAAAAAUGAGGAUUUAGUAAGUGAUACCAAAUUAGUCAGUAAAAAUGAGCUGGUAAACGAACUAUCACCAAAAGAAGAUAUUGUCCAUACUAAAAAAGAAAACGAAAAUGAAAACGAAAACGAAAAUGAAAACGAAAACGAAAAUGAAAACGAAAAGGAAGAGACAAACAAAAAAUUAGAAAGUUUUGAUAAAAACAUAAGGAAAAAAAAUAUACAUGCUAUAUUACUCUGUGGAGGUAUAGGUACUAGAACCGAAUUAAACAUACAUAAACAAUAUUUAAAAUUACAAGAUAUUCCUAUUUUUAUAUACCCUUUUAAUUUGUUUAUAAAAUGUAACUUUGUUAAAUCAGUCAGUCUUGUUUGUGACAUUAAUUACUUUUCAUAUGUUAUUGAAAGCAUUAAUAAAUAUAAUAUACUUCUUUUAAAAAAAAAAAAUAUGCAUAAUUUUCUGGGUACAAUUAAAAAAAUAGAGAAUACUACAAAUGAGAAUGGUGAUUGUAAACAGGAAGUGGAACUCUCUGAAAAAAUCGAAAAUGAAACUUGCGAAGUUAUGGUUGACCAAGUGGUAAAUAUCCAUGGCGAAAACCAACAUAACAAAACACAAACAAGUGAUAGCAUUUUAAAAAAUAUAAAAACAAGUAAAAUUAUAAUAUAUGACAACAGUAAAUGUAAGUGCAUAUUAAAUACAGAUGAAUUACUACAAGAUAUACUAAACACUGCUAAAAAGAAAGAUUUAAAAAAAGAAACAUGGAAGGACACACAAAAUGAAAAAGUUCGAAUAAAAUUAAAAGAUAUCGAUACUAACAGAUACAAGAUAAUACGAGUUGUACCAAGUGGAGAUAAAAGAUUAGACUCUUUUUUAAAUGCAUUAAAGUUGUUAGAUGUUUAUAAAAACAAUAAUAUAUAUAUAUAUGAGUUAAUACAAAAUUAUGUGCAAACAAAAAGAAACACAUAUGAUUAUAUAAUGUUUGACGACAUAGGGAAUAGUUCAGGUUUUAGUAAUGGAAUCGAACAUGUACAAAAUCAAAAUGUAGAACACACACAAAACCAAGAACAUACUGCUUUAAAAGAAAUUACUCAUCCAAAUAUAAUUGAUAGUACUAGUAAUAGUGAUUUUACAACAGAUAAAAAUGAUAAUAACAAAUAUUAUAACAACAUAAAAAAUACGAGUUUGUUAAAAACAAAACAAAAAAUAUAUGUUACUGAUAUAUUAAUACAUGAUAGUUCUAGACCAUUUUUAUCUGAAUUUGACUUUUUUAAUUUAAUAUAUUAUUCCAGUUUUGAUAAAAAUAAAAAUAUUAUUUUAGGCACUAAAGCUACUGAUAGUAUAAAAUUUUUAAACAAUAGAGGAAAUAAUAUGAAUACAUGCCAGUUAAUAAAGAAGAAUAUAGAUAGAACAUAUAUUUUUCAGGCACAAACUCCACAAAUGUUUAAAAGUUUGACACUGUUAAAUAUACUUCGUAAUUUUUUUACUAAUGGUGUUGAUAGUGGUGGUAGUACCAAUGGUGGUAGUACCAAUGGUGGUAGUGGCAAUGGUAGUAGUGGCAAUGGUAGUAGUGGCAGUGUAAAAUAUAAAUCUACUACAAAUCGUUUAUUAAACAUUGCUCAAUUUACUGAUAUAUCGUCAUUAGUUCAAGCAUUAACAAAAAAAAAAAUAUACGCUUUACAGUCUACUUUUCCUAAUUUUAAAAUAACAGCACCUCAUGAU